rnacentral:rRNA from 1 species
UACGGGGGGGGCAAGCGUUGUUCGGAAUUACUGGGCGUAAAGGGCUCGUAGGUGGCCAACUAAGUCAGACGUGAAAUCCCUCAGCUUAACUGGGGAACUGCGUCCGAUACUGGAUGGCUUGAGUUUGGGAGAGGGAUGCGGAAUUCCAGGUGUAGCGGUGAAAUGCGCAGAUAUCAGGAGGAACACCGGUGGCGAAGGCGGAUCUCUGGGCCUUGCCUGACGCUGAGGCGCGAAGGCGUGGGGAGCGAACAGG